CCUGAGACAUUGAUACAAGUACUAAGACAUUUGCAAUUUGACAAAAUGAAUGAGAAAUAUAAUUCUGUUAUGAACAAUUGCAAAGUGGUUUGGAGAUUUGUCCAUGUUCUUUUGAGAAUGUAAUUUCAGUUUCAAGAAAUGAGCCAAACCAAUGGAGAAAAAAAAUGUAAAACCAAUUAUGAACAUUACUCGGUUAUGAGAGACCUUAACUAAUCUUUUUCGCAUACUUUAUCUAUGGUAGUAGCUAUGCCUUAAGUUCAUACUUUCCAGAUGUUACAUUUCCAAGGGAUAGUUUGCUGCUUUUUGUACAUUUUAUUAAUGAUGAAUUAUCAUAUUAACAGCUGAAUAUUUUUAUUUCAAACUGAUACUGUCCAACAGGUCAGUCUAAUUUGUUUCUGUGAUCAUUCAGACUUGUCGCUUUUUCCAGUCAAGUUUAUGUUCCUCUCAGUGAAGCUGAGCAGGCCUUUGAUUUACAGAUGAAAAAUAUAUGUAGCUAUCACAUUAUAUGUAGAACAGGCUCUUUCCAGUAUCUUUCUUUAAAUGUUUAAUUGUCCUGCCCUGAUUUUAAGUCUAAUUAUAAGUUUGCUAAAUGACGAAACUGUAAUGAUGAUGCCUCUUUUUUUAGGCCUACUGUGCCAAAUCAUCCUACCUUCACCAAGGAUGUGAUCCUAUUGCCUGAUCCCACGUGGGACAGAGUAUGCAAACAUAAAACAAAAAGGAAGCUGCAUGAAAGUGGGUAUAUUUUAAGCGCUUUUGAAAUGAGGAAAGCAUGGGACAGUGGGACGGUCAUUGCAGAGUUAAGAGAGGCAUUCAGAGACCGAAUUCCUGAGGAUGUCAGUAUUGAACUUUUAAUGUCAUGUGGAAACACACUGAUAUCACCAAAGUUGCACCAGGGACAGGAACUUAGCGGCUUGAUUGUUCACAAGAUCUUCAAGUCAAAGGCGAUUUAUCUGAGGCCAUCGAGCAGUCUUCCAUUUUCGGUUGACAACUCAGACCCAGAAGACAACUGUGUAGAGGUGGACACUGCACAAACAUCUACCAGUUACCAUAUGACUACAAGGGCCAGGGGAAACGAUACUGCAAAAGCGCCGAAUAUUUCUAUUCGUCCUUUUACAAGAGCAAGAGCCGAACAGCCCUCAGCAACACUACAAGUAACUGAUGCUCUUGUGAC